rnacentral:rRNA from 1 species
AUUGAACGCUGGCGGCAUGCCUUACACAUGCAAGUCGAACGGCAGCACGGGAGCAAUCCUGGUGGCGAGUGGCGAACGGGUGAGUAAAGUAUCGGAGCGUGCCCAGUCGUGGGGGAUAACGUAGCGAAAGUUACGCUAAUACCGCAUACGAUCUAUGGAUGAAAGCGGGGGAUCGCAAGACCUCGCGCGAUUGGAGCGGCCGAUAUCAGAUUAGGUAGUUGGUGGGGUAAAGGCUCACCAAGCCGACGAUCUGUAGCUGGUCUGAGAGGACGACCAGCCACGCUGGGACGGAGACACGGCCCAGACUCCUACGGGAGGCAGCAGUGGGGAAUUUUGGACAAUGGGCGAAAGCCUGAUCCAGCCAUGCCGCGUGCAGGAUGAAGGCCUUCGGGUUGUAAACUGCUUAUGUACGGAACGAAAAGGUUUGGGCUAAUAAGCUGAGCUCAUGACGGUACCGUAAGAAUAAGCACCGGCUAACUACGUGCCAGCCGCCGCCGUAA